rnacentral:rRNA from 1 species
UGCAAGUCGAGCGGACCGACGGGAGCUUGCUCCCUUAGGUCAGCGGCGGACGGGUGAGUAACACGUGGGUAACCUGCCUGUAAGACUGGGAUAACUCCGGGAAACCGGGGCUAAUACCGGAUGCUUGAUUGAACCGCAUGGUUCAAUCAUAAAAGGUGGCUUUUAGCUACCACUURCAGAUGGACCCGCGGCGCAUUAGCUAGUUGGUGAGGUAACGGCUCACCAAGGCGACGAUGCGUAGCCGACCUGAGAGGGUGAUCGGCCACACUGGGACUGAGACACGGCCCAGACUCCUACGGGAGGCAGCAGUAGGGAAUCUUCCGCAAUGGACGAAAGUCUGACGGAGCAACGCCGCGUGAGUGAUGAAGGUUUUCGGAUCGUAAAACUCUGUUGUUAGGGAAGAACAAGUACCGUUCGAAUAGGGCGGYACCUUGACGGUACCUAACCAGAAAGCCACGGCUAACUACGUGCCAGCAGCCGCGGUAAUACGUAGGUGGCAAGCGUUGUCCGGAAUUAUUGGGCGUAAAGCGCGCGCAGGCGGUUUCUUAAGUCUGAUGUGAAAGCCCCCGGCUCAACCGGGGAGGGUCAUUGGAAACUGGGGAACUUGAGUGCAGAAGAGGAGAGUGGAAUUCCACGUGUAGCGGUGAAAUGCGUAGAGAUGUGGAGGAACACCAGUGGCGAAGGCGACUCUCUGGUCUGUAACUGACGCUGAGGCGCGAAAGCGUGGGGAGCGAACAGGAUUAGAUACCCUGGUAGUCCACGCCGUAAACGAUGAGUGCUAAGUGUUAGAGGGUUUCCGCCCUUUAGUGCUGCAGCAAACGCAUUAAGCACUCCGCCUGGGGAGUACGGUCGCAAGACUGAAACUCAAAGGAAUUGACGGGGGCCCGCACAAGCGGUGGAGCAUGUGGUUUAAUUCGAAGCAACGCGAAGAACCUUACCAGGUCUUGACAUCCUCUGACAACCCUAGAGAUAGGGCUUCCCCUUCGGGGGCAAAAUGACAGGUGGUGCAUGGUUGUCGUCAGCUCCUGUC